rnacentral:rRNA from 1 species
GAUGAACGCUGGCGGCGUGCCUAAUACAUGCAAGUCGAACGCUUCACUUCGGUGAAGAGUGGCGAACGGGUGAGUAAUACCUAAGUAACCUGGCAUCUACAGGGGGAUAACUGAUGGAAACGUCAGCUAAGACCGCAUAGGUGUAGAGAUCGCAUGAACUCUAUAUGAAAAGUGCUACGGGACUGGUAGAUGAUGGACUUAUGGCGCAUUAGCUUGUUGGUAGGGUAACGGCCUACCAAGGCGACGAUGCGUAGCCGACCUGAGAGGGUGACCGGCCACACUGGGACUGAGACACGGCCCAGACUCCUACGGGAAGCAGCAGUAGGGAAUUUUCGGCAAUGGGGGAAACCCUGACCGAGCAACGCCGCGUGAAGGAAGAAGUAAUUCGUUAUGUAAACUUCUGUCAUAGAGGAAGAACGGUGGAUAUAGGGAAUGAUAUCCAAGUGACGGUACUCUAUAAGAAAGCCACGGCUAACUACGUG